rnacentral:sRNA from 1 species
AUGGCCCCAUUUCAGGGCUGGACCCUGGACUGUGUAAAAGUAGAGGAAGCUAGCUGAGAAUUAAACAAGCAAGGAAUGAAACAUGCAUGCAUUUGUUUCUCUGUUCUUGACUGAGGAUGUGCAGACUCCUGCCAGCGACGUCCCUGCUAUAAUGGACUGUAACUUGGAUUGUAAGCUAAAAAUAAAUCCGUUCCUCCCCCAUGCUGCUUUUGUGUCAGUACAUAGGUGUCUUGCACAUACUUGGAUCCUCAGAGUUCUUGGGCCCUGUGGCAGUGUUCAAUAGCUGGCUCUAGGGUUUGAUCCAUCUGCCUGCUUUAGGCUCAACACUAUCAAACCCUGGAUUGUUUUCAGUUGAGGGAUCUGUCUGUUUCUGGUCACUGAGGGUAGAGCUCUCAGCCUGAGGUGACCUCUUGGGACUUGGACCUUUACUUUGCCCAUAGUCAUCUCUCCAGCUCUCAACAACUCAUUAACUUCCCUUACCUAGAGGCUGUGGCCAAGCCAAAUUAUGGCUCCCCAACUGGUAAGACUUCUCCCAUCUCAGGCCCCCAGCAUGGCUCGGUUCAAAUAAUAGACCUUACCUCAAGAUGGCACUUGGCUGCUGCCUUCCUACUCAGGUUGCCGUUCCAGGUCCUGCUUCCUCCCUCAGAGAGUCCAGACGCUGUUACACGCUAAAGCUGGAAGUAAGAAGUGAGACCUGGGACAGGAGGGUCUGCAGGAUCCCAGCCCAGAGUGGGUUUGCCAUCUUUGGAGUGUCCACAUGCACAGCCAAGCAAGGAAACAUUUUCUGAACUUUAACUGGAACACUAGAGACUUUUUGCUGUGGUUCCCUGGACAACAAUACAGUGAGUAUUUGUUGACAUUUAAGUUGUUUGAAGUCUUACAAAUAUCUAGUAAAGUUAUAUUUAACACACAGAUGAAGAUGUGUUAAAACACACAGAUGAAGAUGUGUUAAAACACACAGAUGACAUCUGUGGAUUUUGAUGUCCACAUGGGUGGGUCUAGGGUCCCAGGACACCAAGGGACGGUAUAACCAGUAUGACUUACAUUAAGGACUCACGUGGAUACAUUGUAACAUGCUUCACGUGUUCCAGGCAGAGGUUGCAAAACCCAGAAAAGAUCCCAAAAGACCAUGUCUUUGUAGACUCCAUUCCAGGCUCACCCCUACCCUAACUCUACUACUUACUAGCCUUAAUCUUGAAGCUAUGACUUCUGAUUCAGUUUCUUCACUUAUAAAAUGACAGCAAUCAUGGUAAUAGAGGAAGAUAUAGAAAAUCAGUGAUGGCUUACUAUUUUCUCAUACAAAAAAAAAGGCAACUUCCCAUUAUUUAAUAUGACACCUACCCUACAGGGCUAUUAGGAGGAAUCGGUGUGCCAACAGCCAUGAGAUAAACAGAACUGUAGCUGUCCAGCACAUAAGAAGCACUAGUUAAUGCAUUUGUCAAGUGAAAGAAUAGUACAGUUAAACGGUCUUGGGUUGAAUUGAUCACCUGCCUGUCUCACCUCUUCAAAAUAACGGCGUUGUUAGAGGUGGUAUCUGACACUUCAACCAUCAUGCCUCCUGCAAAUCUGCUUCCCUCCUACUUAAAAUUUUACUCCUGUUCUUUUGAGAGCAUAUCUUAGCCCUGUAUCAGCUAAAGAAACUUAUCAAGCAUAAUUGGUUCCCCAAAUGGGAGCCAGCUUCUCCGUCGAGUUUCCUCCAGGGCCUAAAGGCUACAGACAGGCAGAUCUAUAACCUGAUGGUGUUUCUUAGGAAAUUCCAUCACCAUGUCAAGGAUAGAGUAUUUCCAGGAGGGCAGUUGUCUCCUUCCCUAGCUCCACUUCUGCAUUUCUCACAGACUUACCCACUGGGUGAGAGAGCUCAGUGA